GGUGAGUUUAAAUGAGCCGGGGCUGGCCGGGCCGGAGCCGCUACAGGGGGGGCCUGAGGCACUGCAGAAAGUGGGCCUGAGCCUCGAGGAUGACGGUGCUGCAGGAACCCGUCCAGGCUGCUAUAUGGCAAGCACUAAACCACUAUGCUUACCGAGAUGCGGUUUUCCUCGCAGAACGCCUUUAUGCAGAAGUACACUCAGAAGAAGCCUUGUUUUUACUGGCAACCUGUUAUUACCGCUCAGGAAAGGCAUAUAAAGCAUAUAGACUCUUGAAAGGACACAGUUGUACUACACCGCAAUGCAAAUACCUGCUUGCAAAAUGUUGUGUUGAUCUCAGCAAGCUUGCAGAAGGGGAACAAAUCUUAUCUGGUGGAGUGUUUAAUAAGCAGAAAAGCCAUGAUGAUAUUGUUACUGAGUUUGGUGAUUCAGCUUGCUUUACUCUUUCAUUGUUGGGACAUGUAUAUUGCAAGACAGAUCGGCUUGCCAAAGGAUCAGAAUGUUACCAAAAGAGCCUUAGUUUAAAUCCUUUCCUCUGGUCUCCCUUUGAAUCAUUAUGUGAAAUAGGUGAAAAGCCAGAUCCUGACCAAACAUUUAAAUUCACAUCUUUACAGAACUUUAGCAACUGUCUGCCCAACUCUUGCACAACACAAGUACCUAAUCAUAGUUUAUCUCACAGACAGCCUGAGACAGUUCUUACGGAAACACCCCAGGACACAAUUGAAUUAAACAGAUUGAAUUUAGAAUCUUCCAAUUCAAAGUACUCCUUGAAUACAGAUUCCUCAGUGUCUUAUAUUGAUUCAGCUGUAAUUUCACCUGAUACUGUCCCACUGGGAACAGGAACUUCCAUAUUAUCUAAACAGGUUCAAAAUAAACCAAAAACUGGUCGAAGUUUAUUAGGAGGACCAGCAGCUCUUAGUCCAUUAACCCCAAGUUUUGGGAUUUUGCCAUUAGAAACCCCAAGUCCUGGAGAUGGAUCCUAUUUACAAAACUACACUAAUACACCUUCUGUAAUUGACGUGCCAUCCACCGGAGCCCCUUCAAAAAAGACUUUUCAUGUUUUACAGUCUGUUGCCAGAAUCGGCCAAAGUGGAACAAAGUCUGUCUUCUCACAGAGUGGAAAUAGCCGAGAGGUAACUCCAAUUCUUGCACAAACACAAAGUUCUGGUCCACAAACAAGUACAACACCUCAGGUAUUGAGCCCCACUAUUACAUCUCCCACAAACGCACUGCCUCGAAGAAGUUCACGACUCUUUACUAGUGACAGCUCCACAACCAAGAAGGUUUGAUGAGCCUUCUUCGUGAAAUGGGGAAAGGUUAUUUAGCUCUGUGUUCAUACAACUGCAAAGAAGCUAUAAAUAUUUUGAGCCAUCUACCUUCUCACCACUACAAUACUGGUUGGGUACUGUGCCAAAUUGGAAGGGCCUAUUUUGAACUUUCAGAGUACAUGCAAGUAAGUAUA
rnacentral:sRNA from 1 species